ACGAGACUGGUGCUGGUGCUUUUGCUCGCUCUGACCCCCGCGGUGUGGUUUGUCUCUCUGUGUGUGCGUGUGAGUGAUUGUGAGUGCGACGAUAAGCAAUUGCUGCGAGGCCGCUGGGGGAAAACUGCCUACGGCGCGGUGCAAGCUAAACUCAGCACCGGUCGAGACAGCUAUGCAUCUUUCUUUCUUCCUAACUUUGCUCUUCCUUAUCAGAAACACGAGCUCUGUAACCGUGUCACUCCUUUACGGAACCUGAAUCCCACAGCCCGUUGCGAGCGUGUCACUUCCUGUCAUCCAGGGUAUCGUGUGCAUCUUCGUCUGAUGGACAAGAGAGAGCGACGUUCUUCGACGAGGAGUCGCCCCAAGCCUGGCCCUUUUUUGUUUUCUUUUUUUUUUCGAAUGCUCUACUGUGCGAGGAAGGAGGUCCUGGCGAAUCUGUCACGGGAAGACCCUGCUGCCGAAAGUCGAAGGCGGGUAUACGGGUACAAUAUGCACUUGUUAGCAGCAAAUGGGUUUUUAGCUUUCUUUUGACAGCCCAAGACUACCAUGAAAACCGCUGGCCCUAGAAAGGCACGACAUGUUCGGACGGCAGCUUGCGUUCAAGCAACAGGCAUCCUUUACCGAUGAGUUUGACCGGGUCAUGAAUCGUGGGAGCAAGUUAACGUCUAAGUAUUAAUGUCCCUAUAUUGAACACUAUCUUCAAUCGGUGCGAAGCGAGUCACUUAUUUAGUGAGAGAUUCGUUCGCUCGCUUUGGUGAGAAUCUAUGAUCGUGUGGCUUUUGCUACGAUAUAAGCAAGUUUGAACACAUUGUUCAAUAUUUUUUUUUGUGUGUAUAGCAAAGUAAAUUUUGAGUUAGCUUACUUUUUGAAACAAGAGCUUAUAUCUGCACGAAGCAGAAGGUUCCUUUCUCCUCACUUUCGGUUCACACAUCUCUCACCACGCUCGCUAGAUUGAAUGAUCUGUUGUUAGGAUCCAUACGAGUCACCUGACUCGCUUAACGUCCGAUAAGCGUUUAGCUAUUUUUUAGAGAUGCAGCUACGAAAUGAUGAUGGGUAACAAGCAUAGAUGUGUAUGUGUUGGGCAUGAUGCGGCCUACGGCAGAAUGUGCGGAUCUCAUAGCUACGUGAGGUUGCUCCAGCGCCAUAUUCCUAGCCACUUCAUUUGAUGCAGAUAAGGAUGAGAUGAUUGGGCGCAAUGCGGUUAAGUUAAGUUGGUAUCUUCAAGCAUGGAUUGCUGCAGCAUACGAAUAUUCGACCGGCUUGCAUGGAAACGUUGUAUCCGUCGUCCCACAAAACGAGCUCAAGAAGUCCUGCUGGAAUCGCGCUUAGGCGCGACUGCAAUGAGGGAUUAAUAUUACUUCCAUAGUCUCCUGAUUAUGUAUUACCUCCAGCAAUGAUGUGAGUGCUGCUUCAUCAUCGUCAUUGUAUCCAGACGAUGUCCUUCCCCUUCCCUGCGUUGGCUCAGAUGCGGAAGGCACAGACGUUGAAAAUCGGACGUACUCCAGCAAGAAUUGACAAAACUGUAUCCUUCGGGCUCGUUCAGCGUGCGUCAGCUAGCUGCCCUUCAUCGCUUCGUCGUAGUUUGCUGUCCGGUUUAUUGUCCUCUUCACCUGUUGCGGAAGAGCGUGGCGGAUAUGCUUCGAAACUGCGACUCACGCAAGCCGCAUCCAGAGCGCUAUGCGUGACAUUCGGAAAUAAGUGCAUACUACGUUUUCGUCGCAAGGACGUCGUUCGUUUAUCUGAGGUUUCUUUCCACCGGUCAUGUCAACGCUAUAUGGCGUGCUGAAGUCACGUCCAUCGGUUGUGAGGCUCAACGGUCUUCUUUGAGAUGGUACGGAUGGUUCUAUCGAGGUUGUAUACCCAAGCCAGCGCGAAGAGGAUGCAGAAAGUCGCGAGAAGAUGGGUUCAUCGGAUGGGGUUAGGUUUUUCGGUUUCCUGGCGGGUUCGGGCUCCUGGUAGGCGUAGGAUGGAAUGCGGGAUGGUUUUGCUCGCCAGCGAGAAGAACUCCAGCGCACGGACGGUGCCUGCGAGUGGCCAGCAAGAAGAGAGCAAAAUCCAACGAAGUUCACCUGAAGGAGAAGUGGUUUCUAUAACGGCGUUUAGCGGGAUGAUACUUACAGUUACGAUUAUCUGGAAUUUGAAGUGCAGGAGGCACUGAUGUUUUUUCACAAGCAAUCGACGAGAAGCAAUGCUUAUGGAUGUGUAUUGGUCUGUGAUGUUAUGCAAUUAUUACAAAGCUUAGCUUUUGUGCCAAGACCUAACUGCUAUGGGAUAAUAUUAGUGAUUGCAACAUAUCCACAACCUGUGGCAGCUUAUCAUUUGAGCUUUCCAUAAUGGUGCAACUCAAACACCAUCUACUGUAGCGGAGCUGAUAAUUCUACAAAGUUGUGUGAUAUAUCAACACUAAAAUUUAUUUGAUGCAGCAAGAACGCUCGCAGAAUAACUGGCAUCGGAAUGGAAAAUCGAUAUGAAAUGCGUUUAACGUAUCCCACUGCUGUGAAUUAUAUGCUGGCUAGCAUGUUCCCCUAGUACAAUUGCGAUGACGUGUGUGAGCUCUGUAAUUGAGCACGUUAACAGUAUAAACCAAACUUGUUCCUGGCCAUCGUUAUCAGAUGUUAUGCCUAGUUGUACGCUUAUGGCAAACACAACUUGAAAAGGAUAAUUAACGUCCCAUGGAAAGAGAGUGCGAAGUGAAAAAUUGAAUAGUUUUUGUGCUAGUUUCGCAACUAUAUUUGUAUUGAUGCAUGUGUUAAGGAUCUCAAAUUCUUCAACGACAAGGCGCCACAAUUUUUGCACACUCGACAAUGUUUCACGGAUGUAUCUCUACCCUGCUUUAAAGAGGCGACUUGACCAGAAAAUCUACACCUGAAUCUGAAGAAUUGUUACUACACACAGUUUCGCCUGCUUACAACCCUGAUGCUUAUUCACCUUUAGAAGACUUGAAAUGUCCCAGCGGUUAUUGAUUGAGUCUUCCCGAAUCAAACUAUAUGCUCCAGCGACCACAUAUUUUAUCAUCUGCACAUAGAAAUCACCAUUAUUAGCAGAUUAUCAGAAUAGCUCAUUUUCUGUCUUCCCGAUUGGAUUGGGCUCGCACCUGUGAAAUUAUGACACCAGAUGGAUGAAGCUGUUACCAGUGAAGAUGAAGAAGGAUUUCUUGGUAUUUAUGCUACAUCGCUUUCAAAAUUGAAUAUCCAAAAUGUAGACCUGGUCUAUAAGAGUACGCUUAGGCGUGUCGAGAACGCGAUUCUUCUAAUGAACCGAAUGGAAAAGCUUACCUAAGCAUUGAAAUAUCUAGAAAUACACUGUAAAUGAUGCUUACGUCUUCAACAUCUUCAAGCGAUUGUAUAAGGAAAGUACUAAAUGGUGCUCACCGUCGGCUUACAUGCGGAUGGUAUCCUGGAAGGCGCAUAUAACGAUCGUCUAACGUAUUCCACGAAGCUUCGACGGCUUUGCUGUAUUCUUUGGAUUGGCCAACAUUGCCGUCCAAUCGCUCCUAAUGCGAUGUUCUUGUUAAUCCGAUUUUUCGUCUGUGGCGAAAGAAUUAACAAGGCAUGCUGCAAGCUACGGUUUAUGAAAGCCUAUAUGAAAUCAUGCGUAGCAUCUAAAAGCCAGUGGUAUUCUACAGUGUCAUAAGGAUGUCCUUCAUUCAUCUGAGGUCUGAUUUCAUCAGUCCUAUCUACGAUGUAUUAAACGUACGCGUCAUCAGUUGAGCGGCGCAUCAUUCUUCUAGGAGAUGUUGAGAUUUUUUAAGUUAAUGUUAUAUACCCAAGCAAGCGUGAAAAGGAAGCAGAAAGUCGCGAGAAGAUGGGUUCAUCGGAUGGGGUUAGGUUUUCGGUUUCCUGGUAGGCGUAGGAUGGAGUGCGGAAAGGUUUUGCUCGCCAGCGAGAAGAGCUCCAGCGCACGGACGGUGCCUGCGAGUGGCCAGCAAGAAGAGAGCAAAAUCCAACGAAGUUCAACUGGAUGAGGAGCAGUGGUGUCGACGACGAUGUUUGACGGGAUGUUUUCAGUCUCGAUUUUGUAGUGCAGGAGGCACUGAUAUUAUUUUGGCAAUAGAAUACGAUAAGCAAUGCUUUUAUAUAUGCAUUGAAUGAGUACUUAUAAUGCUCUUCGUCAUAACUUACACUAAUCGUAUGACAGAUUAUUAAGCCAUGGAAAAUUUACACCAAAUAUUGCUUAUGUAGUGCAAGAAAUUCUAAAGCUUUUAGUUGUGUUCCUGAAAAAGUUGCAAGUUGUAUUAUCACAAUUUGUAAUAAUGUUCCUAAUGGCAGUGAUCCAUAAGUAAGCCAUUUUGUCACUAAAGGCUGCCGUCCUCAUUGUUGCCUAACUCAUUUCUACAUUCAUAGCUGCGAAAACGUUACUUAGAUCUUACAAUCAACAUUUUAUUUAGAAUCAAACUGAAUGCGACAAUUGAACACUUCUACUAAGUGUGAUCGAUAGACAUAUUUUAUGAAAUUUGUGCACGGAUAAGAGAUAGAUGAACCUUUCUGUUAAGGGUGAUCAAUAGUCAUAUUUUAUGGAACCUGAACUAACUGGAACUCGGAUAAAAGAUAUAUAAACCCUGCUUCUGCUAAGGGUGAUCAAUAGACAUAUUGCACAAAACUUGAACAAACUUGAACACGCAUAAAAGAUCAAUGAACCCUUCUGCUAAGGAUGUUCGAUACUCAUACUUUAUGUAACUUACCUGCUGUAAAGACAGUACGUGGAGUAAGGAAUCCCAAUUAUGUGUGAACUAUUUAGCUACUUGAUAUGAUCUGCUAUUGGUAUAUCUAAAACAUAUUAUGAACCAAACGUCUUAUGAAAAAAACCCGUCUAUGAAAGCGACUUAUAACCUUCGCUCAGUUCUCACAAUCGAAAAAACGUACCUGUGAAUAUGAAGUUUAUACCUGCAUGUAACACAAUUUAUAAGUAUUUAUUAGUAAGUACGAUUACCACGAAUCAAAACCGAAUCUUGAGGUACUUGACGUACGCAUUAGUAUGACGAUUGCAUAUUGAGCAGGACCCAGAAAUGCAUAAAAUCAGUAUGAGGAAACUCAACCAAACCAGAACACACAUCUGGUAGAUCUCAAUAAUCUCGCACCGUGUGCGCAACGAACUGAACCAACCAAAACGGAAACAUAAACCAGGACUUUGUGGGAUAGAGGGCGGGAACAAGAUAUAGUAGCAGCAGGCUACUAGCUGCCGGAAGCCACCAGAAAAUAGCAAACGAAGCAUUGAAGUAUUGACGCUGGUGCGUUAGCGAGGGCGUUAAAUCGCGCUGAGUAUUUGGGAAAAUCGAUACGCGAAUAAAUUGCCGAUGCUUUGACCACCUUGUAUGCAUGAAUGGCAGCUGGAGUUGUUAGUGGCAGCAUAUACACAUAAAUACAUAUAUUUUUUUUUCGUUCGAUUUCCCUCGUUCUGCUCACAUGGAACUGCGCUUGAAUCCGCCCGUCUCGGGAGGAGCAGUGCUGCCAAAGUAUUUAAAAAGAAACGAAUCAAAUAAAUAUUUCAUUUUCAUUUCCAAACGAAACCGUUCUUUUUGUUGAAGCUUUUGAAUGGACAGAGAAGGGAGAGAGAGAGAGAGUACGUUACUUGAUUAUGUGAACUUAACCAUAAACGUUUUCUAUAUUGGUCCUAGCUGACAUGGAUAUGCAAAGGUAGAUGGCAGCCUUUUCCAUCAUUUUUUCUCUCUUGCCUAUGUUGAGUGCCAGGCCCUGCUGUACCGCUCUGGGGACGUUGGUGUCGAUCCAGAGCCGGGUGCAUUGAAAGGUGGACGACGAAUGUGCGAAGAUCGUUCAAGGGUAGCCUGGCUAGACGCCUAUAUAAGUAGCGGCCUGCCUAUUCGGCGAGCCCGUGCGGUAUAAGCGGUCACAGUGAAGAAAGAAGAGAAGAUGAAAAGAAUGCUAGCAUAUCACGUACCGUAUCCCUUCUGCCGCCAGCAGUAGUAGAGACGAGAACACCCAAUAUCUCCCUGCCACGUUGGCGGUCACGAUCGCACAACCGGUGCCGGAAGGAACGCAGGACAAGCAGGAGAUGAGCGCGCAAGCGAACAGAAACAGACAAGAAGAGACGGUAACGGUAGAAGCGGGACAUAGUAAAUCAUAUAGAGAACAGAUAAGCAAAACCAGCCACUGGGAAGGCCGCGGAAAACGCGUUGAAAGCCCGCCCAUUCGCUGGGUGAACGGGAACGCUUGAACAGAGUAGCAGGUAACGUGUGGUACAACGCCCUUCCGAGGGUGUAGUACCGGUUAGUGGCCGGAUUGUGGCGAGUCCUGCGCCCGCGCUAAGCGAGCGCUGCUUACAACUAUCACUUUUGUUUCGAUUCUAGUCUCGACCCGGUAUUAGUAGUACGGCUAAGCGAUAUAACCGAAGUCCGGAACUGACCUCGCCCUUAAGCGCGUUAGGGGGUGUGGGGCGUAAACCUUGUGCGGAGGGCGAACACCUACUGUGAAGAUCCUAGUGCCCCUCACACUAUCCCCAUCUUCCCCAAAAAAAAAAUCCGGAGCCAAGCAAACAAAGCGGGAGACCAAGCACGUUUAAAACGCGACGAAAGACGUGUCCUAGCUGAGUCACAAUCAAAAACCUAACCUGCUCGAAUCGAGUACAUGGAGAGUACACAUAUACACACGCGCGCGCAAACACACAAACGGACGCGAGCGGCUAACUCUGGACAGCGAUAAAGGAACGCUAGGCUUCAUGCAGACGAAUCGAAAGUGUUACGUUAUGGGUGUUCGACAGCGUGCCCUCAGAUUGGCUUCUCGCAGAGGUGUUCUACCACACAGCGGAUGCUCCAGACUUCUGCCUGCAACACCGCACCGCGAGGUUCCUGAGAUCUACGGCUCCAGCGAGGCCGCCUCCAGCCAGAACCUGGCACGGUCGUGGAAGGUGACGUGUCUUCUCCCCAGAGACAUGGUUGGACCGGGUGGAAGGGGCUUUUGCACCAUCCUCCCACGCACACCCCCAUUCGUCCUUGCCAAGCGACACCACUCUAUCUCUGUACGUUUUAGUAUUCAACCAACGUUGCUCCUCUACUAUUUCCGUGCUCGUUCCAUGCACUUGGGACCGGGAACCUGAGCGUGACAGGAUCGACCCGUCUAGCCCAUCCUGCGAGAAGGUUCCAGCGAUGCGGAGACCAAAUGAGGCAGCUCUAGCUGCUACUCGAUGCUCGAUGGUGGACGUGUCGAGUCGUCGUCCUCAGCAACCAACUCCUCGCAACACCCGGGCAACCCAGCAAGGAACGGCGGAAGAGGCUUUAUUCUCAGAUUUUCAGCCACAGACCAGACACCGACCUGCGCAUCCUGCUGCAGUUUUUCCUACUUCUCCUCUCAACCCUUUCUCGCUCUCUCUCUCUCUCUCUCGCAUUUCCUUCCACGGCAACGUGCGCGUGUAUGUGUGUAUGUGUAUAUGUGCAUGCGUGUGUCGGUGCCAGCUGUAGCGAAUACAGUUCUUCCUGCAAAAAAAAAACACCUACGGACAGCGACGCGAACGUGCCUCCUGCGCAGAGGUUACCGAGGCAGUAGUACUGUCAAGUGCGCAACACACCACCUAUCUCUCGGCUCCUUCAGAGCUUUCUUUUUUUUGUUUGCUCUGUUUCUGGCAACACCUGGCUCUCGGGAGAAGGCUCGACGCGUUCGACGACACCUUGGCCGGGGCUGGCUUGCUGACAGUCGGCAGGACAUGUGGCGUGUGCGGUGUGUGUGUGUGGUGUGGUGCGUAAAAAAAAGGAUAUACAACGUGACUUCAUAAACCUCCCCUCCCUCCCCUUCCCCUUCCGUGUGCUGCAGCUGCCGGGGAAAAAGAGCCAGCGAGCCAACCGCGAAGUGGCGUGUUGUGUGUGCCUCUGCUAAGACCGACCCGUAGCGGUCGCGUUUGGUGCCUGCGAAUCGCCACGUGGUUUUGCCGGCAAACGUUGCGGGCCCGAAGUUAGCAACCGAUAGACUAAGAAACCGCGAAAAAAACUCCCGGAAAAGCUGGAUCCCGUCUGUCGCGCGUUGGCCGGUUGACAGCAUCAUCCUGCCGAUGCGGUGGGAGACGGGGCGCCGUAGGGUUGUGGCUGCUGGCGCUGCUUAUGCGGGGCUGUCCGCUGGCAGCCCCGUGUGUGUGUGUGUGCCGGGUGAACAGACACAACCGUACCGCCCACCCGAUGUGGAUCUACGCGCGCAAAGUGUACGCAAGCGAACAAACGAAACAAAAGAAAAAAAAAGAAAUGAAUAUCACCCACGAUCCAUCCUGCGGCCGGUGUGGGGUUAGAUCGCGCGACAACCGACCGGCAAAUCCUUACGAUAUCCAUCACCCCACAUUUGCAGGGUUCGCCGACCCGCAAAAGUCCCCGACCAUUAGUGUGUAGACGUUAAGCGACGAAACGAGAAAAUUACACGGUUAAACGCGCCCGACAUGAAAAACCCACGACCGGACGGGCACAAAGAGGGGGUUGCGAUGGGUGGGCGGGCUCUGCUCGCCCUCCUCUCCCACCUCAGACCGCCACCCGUGGCUGAUUCGGUGCCCACGCUGCGUGUGUUGGUCCUUCGAGCAGGAUAAUGGCACGUCAACGCGACCAACUCUCGAUCGGAAAAUGGCUCUCUCUCUCUCUCUCUCUCUCGCAACAGCAGCAGCAACAGCGAGCCAACAACCCCUGUCCUGUGUGAAGCGUUACCCAUAUCCCUCUCCCAACCUCAACACUCAAACACAACCGAGCGAUCGGGGGUGUGUGUGUGUGUGUGUGCAGACACCUAAUGCGGCGGCAAACUGUCCUUCCGAUCGGCAUAAUUUAGUUCGCGGCAACUCACCCAGCCCGGUUCGCCCUUUUUCGCUCGUGAUCGUUUCGUGUGGGAAAAGCCAAGACCGGGAUCCUGCCGCUCUACCUCCUGCCUUGGGGAGACGGAUCCUGGGGGAUUUUGCGUGAAGGAUAUCGCGCAGGUUCGGUCGGGCGAACCGCUCCUUGCGGAUGUUCCAUCCAAUCCCUCUUCCCCCGGCCGAGCCUUGAACGUGGUGCCCUUCAGGUGUCCUUGGAUCCGUUCCGCGCAGUCCCGCAGUGCUGUAACGUAACUACUUCGCUCCAAGUGUGUCGUGCUCUAUAUCCUAGCGAUAAGCCUGUUGGCAUUUGUUUGCCAAGCUGCCGAACAAACAGAAAUACGAACGCAUAUGGACUAAUUUCUCUACUCACUCUAUCUAUAAGCUCUAAUCCUAUGUCGGUAUGUACGAACGUCUAUGUUAAGCUGCCCGUUGCUGCCGCCACCGUCACCAUCACCACCACCGGUACCUUCCUAUCGUAGAUGAUAAGCUAAGAAACGAGAACGCGCAUCUGUCGGUUCGAACUUCUUCUAUAAUUAAUGCCUUUUUUUUCGUUAUUAAUUUGACGGCCACGAGCGAACCAAAGCACCAAAGGGUAACCGGGUUUUUUUUUCGGGCGAUGAUGAUGUGCGGGUUUUGCGGUGGCCACAUCGAAGCGGUGAUCCCGGCCAACGCUCUCGCUGGCCCGGGUGACCCUCGACCGCACCACCACACCCCACCCCCGCGAAACCCACAAUUGUGCCGAUCGGGAGGAGGGUGGCCAUGAAAACGCGACCCUUUUUUUAGGUUCUGCAUCCACUCUGCUCUGCUCGCUUUCCACACCCACACAUACGAACAUCUCCUCCUCCUCCUCCUCAACCGGAACCACACCGGAUGCCGGCCGCCGCCCACCGGUGGUACCCCGCCGGAGACCUUCCACCGCUUGGGGUCACUCUGUUUCACUUUUAGUUUUCUUUUUUCCAAACAUUUUUCUCUGCGCCUACUACGAAACGUGUUCCGGGUUCCGGUGCGAAUAACAAAAACAAAAAAAAAAGAAACAUCCAACGACACCUCUCCUGCGUGCUGAUCCUGUCGGUCGCCGUCCCACACGCGGGACGCCGCCCGCAACGUAUCCGGUCCUUUGCUCCUCUGGGAAGGGGGGUGCGCCCGUGGCUGGUUCCAGUGCACGCCGGCAGAGGGGGCGCGGUUCGACGGGAAGGACUGUAGAGCGUGAAUCCAACGUGUCCGCGCCCCCCCCUGUAAGACCGGUGGCAGGAGCCAGUGUGCGCGCCCUAGCAGAAGGGGAGGCAAGUGGGCCACAAAAAACCAAACCAAAAAAAAAACCACGUGUCAACGCCAACAUGUACGAGAACGCGUGUUCGCAGCCGCUCGUUUUACUAUUCCGCCACGACCGGGUCAGGAAGGGGGUGCGGGGGUGCUACCGGGCGGCGGCAGGUUUGGCCGGUUGGUACCGUUGCGGCCUGAAGGUGUGCAGGGGGGUUGCGUCUGAAGGGCGCACAACCCCGACACCAAGGGUCCUUAAAACACUCACACGGUCACACGCAACAGAGAUCCUUAUUCCGUACACUACCUGUUUUCCCUAUCCCCCGGUCAAUAUUUGAGUCCUUUUUUUCUUUCAACUGCUGUUUUAGUGUUGAUUUUUUCCUUCCAUCAAACUCUCUCAACAUCUCGUCGCUGUGCGGUAGAACACCACUUCGGCAGGACAAAGGACACGCUGUCGCAACACCCGUUCGGUCCGAAUUUGCGAUUCGUCUGCACUUUCGCGCUCGGUGAAAAAAGAAACGCAAAACGAUACGCCACCCUUAACGUACGAGAUCUGUCGCGGAAGAGCCCUACGAGGCGAACAGCCGUUUGCGGAACGAAGCGAAAAUGAUAGCCGCGCGGUUACAAAUUCGUACGCGAGCAAAGCAAAAGCGAAACAAAGCCGCGGAAAGCAAAAGAACAAACGAAAGAGACGAAAAAAACGAUACGAAAGCGGCAAAGGAGCGCAAAAGAAAAGAGAGAAGAACAAGAAACGAAACGAAACAAAAGAACUAUAAAACACAGCAACCCAUUAAAACAAACAACCCAAUAAAACAUGACAACCCGAUAAAACCCACCAAACCCGGCAAGCGGCCAACUGCUGCGCGUAAACCAAACCAAACGAAUAAAAGGACAUGUGGGAAGAGGGCGGGUAAAUAAAAAAACAAAGCUAACAAUUUGCAACACGUAACGUGACACGUUCGGCGCGGUUUUUUCUGUUUGUUUGUUUUGCUUUUGUUUCGCCUAUUGGUUUACUAGCGCAAUAAAACGAACCUCUGUGUUUAAGCGUAAGAAAACAACCCCGAAACAGUGUG